rnacentral:rRNA from 1 species
AUUGAACGCUGGCGGCAUGCCUUACACAUGCAAGUCGAACGGCAGCACGGAGCUUGCUCUGGUGGCGAGUGGCGAACGGGUGAGUAAUAUAUCGGAACGUACCCUGGAGUGGGGGAUAACGUAGCGAAAGUUACGCUAAUACCGCAUACGAUCUAAGGAUGAAAGUGGGGGAUCGCAAGACCUCAUGCUCGUGGAGCGGCCGAUAUCUGAUUAGCUAGUUGGUAGGGUAAAAGCCUACCAAGGCAUCGAUCAGUAGCUGGUCUGAGAGGACGACCAGCCACACUGGAACUGAGACACGGUCCAGACUCCUACGGGAGGCAGCAGUGGGGAAUUUUGGACAAUGGGCGCAAGCCUGAUCCAGCAAUGCCGCGUGAGUGAAGAAGGCCUUCGGGUUGUAAAGCUCUUUUGUCAGGGAAGAAACGGUGGGAGCUAAUAUCUCCUGCUAAUGACGGUACCUGAAGAAUAAGCACCGGCUAACUACGUGCCAGCAGCCGCGGUAAUACGUAGGGUGCAAGCGUUAAUCGGAAUUACUGGGCGUAAAGCGUGCGCAGGCGGUUUUGUAAGUCUGAUGUGAAAUCCCCGGGCUCAACCUGGGAAUUGCAUUGGAGACUGCAAGGCUAGAAUCUGUCAGAGGGGGGUAGAAUUCCACGUGUAGCAGUGAAAUGCGUAGAUAUGUGGAGGAACACCGAUGGCGAAGGCAGCCCCCUGGGUCAAGAUUGACGCUCAUGCACGAAAGCGUGGGGAGCAAACAGGAUUAGAUACCCUGGUAGUCCACGCCCUAAACGAUGUCUACUAGUUGUCGGGUCUUAAUUGACUUGGUAACGCAGCUAACGCGUGAAGUAGACCGCCUGGGGAGUACGGUCGCAAGAUUAAAACUCAAAGGAAUUGACGGGGACCCGCACAAGCGGUGGAUGAUGUGGAUUAAUUCGAUGCAGCGCGAAAAACCUUACCUACCCUUGACAUGGCUGGAAUCCCGGAGAGAUUUGGGAGUGCUCGAAAGAGAACCAGUACACAGGUGCUGCAUGGCUGUCGUCAGCUCGUGUCGUGGGAUGUUGGGUUGAGUCCCGCAACGAGCGCAACCCUUGUCAUUAGUUGCUACGAAAGGGCACUCUAAUGAGACUGCCGGUGACAAACCGGAGGAAGGUGGGGAUGACGUCAAGUCCUCAUGGCCCUUAUGGGUAGGGCUUCACACGUCAUACAAUGGUACAUACAGAGCGCCGCCAACCCGCGAGGGGGAGCUAAUCGCAGAAAGUGUAUCGUAGUCCGGAUUGUAGUCUGCAACUCGACUGCAUGAAGUUGGAAUCGCUAGUAAUCGCGGAUCAGCAUGUCGCGGUGAAUACGUUCCCGGGUCU